rnacentral:rRNA from 1 species
UACGUAGGGCGCAAGCGUUUGUCCGGAAUUAUUGGGCGUAAAGAGCUCGUAGGCGGUUUGUCGCGUCUGCUGUGAAAACCUAAGGCUCAACCUUGGGCUUGCAGUGGGUACGGGCAGACUAGAGUGCGGUAGGGGUGACUGGAAUUCCUGGUGUAGCGGUGGAAUGCGCAGAUAUCAGGAGGAACACCGAUGGCGAAGGCAGGUCACUGGGCCGCAACUGACGCUGAGGAGCGGAAAGCAUGGGGGAGCGAA